UGCAGUUGAAGCAGUCAAACGUCAACAAAUUCCUUUGCGAGCCAAUCAAAAUUAAGAUCAUUCAUGAAAUGAAUUCGUGGCAUGUUUGCAGAAUAAUUAUU